rnacentral:rRNA from 1 species
GACGAACGCUGGCGGCGUGCCUAAUACAUGCAAGUAGAACGCUGAAGGAGGAGCUUGCUUCUCUGGAUGAGUUGCGAACGGGUGAGUAACGCGUAGGUAACCUGCCUCGUAGCGGGGGAUAACUAUUGGAAACGAUAGCUAAUACCGCAUAAGAGUAGAUGUUGCAUGACAUUUGCUUAAAAGGUGCAAUUGCAUCACUACCAGAUGGACCUGCGUUGUAUUAGCUAGUUGGUGGGGUAACGGCUCACCAAGGCGACGAUACAUAGCCGACCUGAGAGGGGGGUCGGCCACACUGGGACUGAGACACGGCCCAGACUCCUACGGGAGGCAGCAGUAGGGAAUCUUCGGCAAUGGACGGAAGGCUGACCGAGCAACGCCGCGUGAGUGAAGAAGGUUUUCGGAUCGUAAAGCUCUGUUGUAAGAGAAGAAAGAGUGUGAGAGUGGAAAGUUCACACUGUGACGGUAUCUUACCAGAAAGGGGCGGCUAACUACGUG